rnacentral:lncRNA from 1 species
AGGCCAAUGGGGAGCCAAUAGGGGCACCAGGAACCAGCAACCACCUCCUGCUGGCAGGCCCUCGCUCAGAAGCUGGGCAUCUGCUCUUGCAGAAGCUACUCCGGGCAAAGAAUGUGCAACUCAGCACUGGGCGGGGGUCCGAGGGGCUGCGAGCUGAGAUCAACGGGCACAUUGACAGCAAGCUGGCUGGGCUGGAGCAGAAACUACAGGGUACCCCCAGCAACAAGGAGGAUGCAGCAGCAAGGAAGCCUUUGACACCGAAGCCCAAGCGGGUACAGAAGGCAAGCGACAGGUUGGUGAGCUCCCGAAAGAAGCUGCGGAAGGAGGACGGGGUCAGGGCCAGCGAGGCCUUGCUGAAACAGCUGAAACAGGAGCUGUCCCUGCUGCCCCUAACGGAGCCUGCUAUCACCGCCAAUUUUAGCCUCUUUGCCCCCUUUGGCAGUGGCUGCCCAGUCAAUGGGCAGAGCCAGCUGAGGGGGGCCUUUGGAAGUGGGGCGCUGCCCACUGGCCCUGACUACUAUUCCCAGCUGCUUACCAAGGUCAGAAAAAUGGCAAUAUUUUUUGGGAAUAGUGAAGUUCUUGGGAAGGUGAGGGUGGGAAUAGAAAACUUGAGGGAAUUGCUGACGUAGAGUGGGGCCAGGAGAUUAUAUCAGUCUCCCUAUGCCAUCUUGCACACAACACCCCACCCCCCACCCCUCAGAAUAACCUGAGUAACCCGCCGACACCACCCUCGUCGCUGCCCCCCACCCCACCCCCAUCGGUGCAGCAGAAGAUGGUGAAUGGCGUCACCCCAUCUGAAGAGCUGGGGGAGCACCCCAAGGAUGCUGCCUCUGCCCGGGAUAGUGAAAGGGCACUGAGGG